GUGACAAUCUAAUAUCCUCAGACUCGCAGCAGACAGCAGGGAAAGCUUCAAAUGAAAAACCCUCCUGAUAAUAAAUGUGUCAUCAGGCAGGUCUUUGGGCAGGUAGGCUUCAUGGCUGACUCUAUCAUUGCUCUUUGAGUGGGCUCUACAGAACAAUGUGGAUGGGUUUGCCUUCCUCCGAAAGAUCAGUUACUGGCCACAGGAGCAGGAAGGAUGCCAGACUGGAUGGAUGAAUUGUUCUGUGUUCCUGUGGCUGAAAAAGAAUAAAUGGGCCAAGGGAAGCCGUGGAAGAAAUCAGCUUUCUGAAUGCAGAGAAACAGAGCAAUUAGAACCUGUUCCCCAAAACUUAGCCUAAUAUAAAGAGAAAGCAUUGUGAAGGGGUUGUAAAAAUCUUUGCUCUCCUAACAUUUGGGGUGGGGUUUUCCAAGGGGUUUAGGAGCAGAAGGCCCCGUGACUUUGAAUGGGACCUGUGCUCCUAAGUCAGUUAGGCUCUUUUGAAAAUCCCAGCUGGCUUUGUGUCUUUGUCCCUCAGUCUCCACAUCCGGGAGUGUGAUGCCCCUGCACUAGAGCUAUAACAGCAGCUAUGAGGGUGACUGUCAUAGUGUGACACUGUCUUCCUCCCAACCAGCUUGCCUCAGCCUCAGACUAGUGCAAGGUCCCUGGGAGUUUCUUCUGCCCCUGGAAAAAAGUGAUGUGAGGAGCAAGGCAGGUCUUAAAACCCCAUCUCAACACAACCUUGCCUGUCAAUCUUUUGGCAACUUCACCAGGAACUUAUUUUGGUGGGGCCAAUUCUGAUACCCUUCUUCAUACUGCAUGGCCCCCGAGUCCCUGCUGUUUCCAGUAGGACUAAAUUACGCCUCUACAUGAGCAAAGAUGGCAGAAUCUGACCCUUAAUGUGCAUAUAAUUUAUCUCUUGCAUGCCUGCCUUCUUCUGUAGUCCCCUCUCCCUCCCCACCAACCCACAGUACCUAUUGAUUUUCCUGAUUUGCUUGCCUGUGAUUACAUUAUACUCUUUUUUUCUUC